CAUACCCACUGAACGUGCGGAAGGAUCAUNA
rnacentral:rRNA from 1 species